ACCUGAGAAAAGAAUUGGAGACUGUGGUAUGAUGCCAAGAACCUUACGUAGAUCUGUCAAUCCAAAUGUCGCAAUGUCACAAUGAUCGAUCAAGAUUCUUCCUCUUUCAAGCUCAAAAAUCCGGAAUAAUGCAUUCAACAUGCUAGAUUUGCCAGCACCAGUUCUUCCAACCAUGCCAACCUUCUGGCUUGGGGAUAUAGUGAAGGACAGUCCUCGCAGGACAGGAGGAAGUCCAGGUCUGUAACGCAUAAAAAGAUCUUCAAAUUUGAUCAAUCCAGACGAAGGCCAUCCCUGAGGCGGACGGUUUCCCUCAAUAACAUCCGGAGCCUCAGACGGUAAGUCCAUGUACGUGCCCACACGUUCAACAGCAUUUAGACUAUUUUCAGCUUUGCUUGCUUGUCUAAGGACAUUGCUUAGCAAAAUUGUGAUAUUCAAAGAAUAGCUAAGGAGGAGGCCCAUUGUAGAUGCAAAUGCAACCCGAUUUUCUGCUCUUCCAUUUUGUAUAACAGCAAAUGUUGCUGUCAACCAGAUCAUGAUGCCUCCUAAUGUUUCCAGCCUUAUGGUACGCCAGCGGUUUGAACUAAUGCUAACUAAAGUAAACCGCACAUUAUUGUCCAUAGAUUUCCCAUUAACAUUUGCCAUCCUAUCGUAUGCUUUAUAUGCACGAAUUGUUGACAAACCAUUCACUGCUUCUCCAAACUGUGCAUAAACAGGAGACCUACUAAUGGAAUCUAGACGUUUUACUUCACGAGAUGUGUUCUGUAAUUGAUUUUGUUCAUGAGAAUAUGAUCAAGAAUCAUGUAUUGAGAUAUAUCAUGUCAAAAUCAAUGAACUUAUCACUAAGCCAAAGAAAAUUGAGCUAAUCUCUGCACUUAACAGGACAUGUAUGGAUUAAGAACUAUGAAAAAAUUCCCUGUUUUCCUUCCAUAAUGGUCCAUAUUUAUUGUCCCUGCAUUUUAAGGAAUAGAGCCGAAAACGAAAUCAAGGAAAAUCAUGCUUGCAACUGACAAUCAGAAAAAGAGAGAAAUUAAAAGAGAUGGGGAUAAUGAUGAACAGAUGUUACAGACAUAGAAACUGAACAUGUAGAC
rnacentral:lncRNA from 1 species